UACGUAGGGUGCAGGCGUUAAUCGGAAUUACUGGGCGUAAAGCGUGCGCAGGCGGUUUGCUAAGACAGGUGUGAAAUCCCCGGGCUUAACCUGGGAACUGCGCUUGUUACUGGCAGGCUUGAGUGUGGCAGAGGGGGGUAGAAUUCCACGUGUAGCAGUGAAAUGCGUAGAUAUCAAGAGGAACACCUGCGGCGAAGGCGGGUUGCUGGGCCGACACUGACGCUGAUGCGCGAAAGCCAGGGGAGCGAACGGG
rnacentral:rRNA from 1 species